rnacentral:lncRNA from 1 species
GUGAAGAAACCCCACUUAAGCUUGUUUGAGGAAGAGGAAAAUCUGUUGCUUCAGGCAUCUGAAAAGUCCAGGGGAUAUGAGUAUCAGGUAUAGUUUGGUCUAGGCACUCAAAUAAUAACAUUAAACUCACUUCCCAUCCCUCUUCUUCUCUUUCAGCAUUUCAGCUCUUCUUUUCUCCUGAUUGCCUUCAUUCUCAGGGAAAGAUUAUCCACAUGGCAGCUUCUGGCACUAAUGCCUGUCUGAGACCAUCCUGUUACUCCCAGUAAAGCUAGGAGUGGCUAUUCUCAGAACACUGGUGUACUCCUGGAAUAAUUGCCUUUCUGGAAAUCACAUUGUAGCUUAUUCAGAAGCACUUUUAAUAGAGAUAUUUGGAAUGACCCUGGGCGGAAGUUUAUCAGAACCUGGAGCAUAGCAGCAAUACCUGGAGAUUCUAUCGAAAACAGCAAGGCCAGCACAGUGGGGAUGGUUGAGAGAAGCCCUCCUUUCUCCACUGAGGAACUUUGUGCCAAGUCACCUGCACGUCUACCCUACCUACCCCUGACCUGAACUCAGCAGGACAGCACAAAGAAAGCAUGAAGAACUUUGCUGCACUGCUUUUGGAAAAUAUGCUAACCCCUAGCAUAACCAAUCCAUCUUAAGAAUGAAACAGCAGCGAUUGAUGGAAAAGAGUUGUACAAUUCCGGGGCGCUCAAAGUGAUGGAAGAAGCUAUUGAGGAUGAUAAUGCUCAUGCUUGGAACCCUAUGUCCAAGUUGUAAGGAAGCCCAAGCAGCCCAUAAAGAGGCCCACGUUAAGAAGAACCAGGACCCACAGUCUAAGUGAACUCUCAGCUAAUAGCACCAUUUUGCCAACCAUGAGUCAAACUGGCAGCUUCAAGGACCUUGGCUGAAAUUGGUCCAUUUGGAUAUGUGUGCUUGUUUCUGCAAUGUCCUGAAUGACUGUGGGAAAGGGCUUCACAAGGCUUCAUAAGACACCUGGAUCUCAUAUCUGCUUCUGCAUUCAAUCUGUUGCACCAAGUUGUUUUGACUGAAGGGUAUGAAGAAAAACUGGCCUCAUCCAAAUAUGCGGUUGGAAAAGGGUGGAGUAUUUUAACAGCCCUUCAAAUAAUUGUUUAAUCAUGUCCUUUACAAAACAACAUGAUAAAUUAAAUAAUUCUAAGGAGGAAAUCAACUGGGUAAUUGCC